GGCUGCAUUGUAAGGAGGAGAAAACCUCUGAUUGGUAUCGGGUUGACACUUCCUGAAAACCUUUGCUAUUGCACAAAUUGGUAAUAAAAAUAGAUAGUGGAGAGGGGAAGAAUGACUGCAAGAAGAAGACAACUGGUCGCAUACACAUACCGAGGUUUCCUUUUAAACAGCAAAACUUCCCCCAUGUUGGCUCCACUGGUGGCCUCAAAGUCUCCCGUUAGGAUGUUCCUUCUUGCCUGGGCCACUAUGCUCUUCCAUGGGAGCGUCUAUACAGCAGGCACAUCACAUGGCAACAACAUCUGCACGUUGGGCUUCUGCAUCAGUCUCAACAAAACAGAGAUCGUGUCUGAGGUGGGACUCUCCGCCUACAUCCCGUGCUCCUUUUACGCUACGGGGUUCACGCCUCAGAGCGUCGUGUGGUUCAAGUGCUCCCAAAACAAAAGCAGAUGCGGCGACUCGGAGAUCAUCUUCCACUCCAAGAACAGAGGGAAAGUCCCGAACGACUUCCGAGAUCGAGUUCGCAUGGUGGAGGCCGACGUGAGUCGCAUGGACUGCAGCAUCAUCGUCAACGACCUCACGCCCUCAGACUCUGGAGCCUAUCAGCUGCGAGUAAACGGCCUGCUGUUGAACAAGCCGGAGGGAUUUAUGUUCAAGAAUCGAGUCUUGGUCACCGUAACAGAUGUGAAGCCGCCAUCCAUCUCCGGGCAGACGACGCUGAAGGCAGGCGACAACCUGACUCUUUUCUGCAUCAUGGACAGUUUCCCACCCUCUCGUGUCACAUGGAACCUUCCCAAUUUCAAUGCGACAAACGUGCGACGUGGACCACAGCUGCAUCCGACCAUCGCUAGCGCCUAUCUCGUUAUCCCCAACGUGACGGCGGCCCACUCUGGACGCUACGAGUGCGCGGUUACCCACCAUACAGCACACGUGGACGUGAUGGUGACAUGGUUUACAGGCAUCCUCAACGGGUCUGGAUGUUCACUGCGGGGGCCGUUGUUGACCUGCGUGUGCGUCAGCGGCGGCGUCCCGCUACCAGUCGUCACGUGGCCGUUGCUGGAGAACAGAACAGUCUGCAGCGCCGUCACCGCUGUUUCCGACGACAGUGUAAACACAAGUUUUGCGCUACUUGUCGACGAUCUCGCCGUCUCUGCUGUGGAGUGUGUCAGCAUGCAUAAAAAUGGCGAGGACAGGAAAACACUUCACGUUCAAAUAACAUUAGAAUGGGAAGAACAAGGUUUGAAAAAUAUCACGCUUCGUCUAGAUGUCUUCAUCGCAUUUUUGAGUGGAGCACUUCUGUCCGUCUUCUUGUGUUGCCUGUCCAAGACCUGUUGCAGAAGAGCAAAAAAAAGCUCCGGGGGUCUGGAUCUGGAGCUGAUGGCCCCACAAGAGGACCCACAGGAAUAUGGCCUCAAAGAUUGCGGCGAGGAAGGGUCCAAAGCGGACGUGGAGUACGCCAGCAUCAACUUCUCCGCGUUAAGGAGAAACAACACCAGGGAGGUGGUGACUAAUCAUCAGGGGACAGAGUACGCCGAGAUCAAGACAAAGGGGGAUGGUGAGCGAUCGCUGCAGCGGAACGACGAUAUAGAAGAGGAGGAAAUUAAGAUUGUGCAGGUCAUGGACGCAGAUGGUACUGAGGACACAUUCCCCCCUCCCCCCCAGAUUCAUAAUGACCCCAGUGUCUCCACAUUUCUUUCAUCUUCAAGCCGUACAUGAUUGGAUUGAACAGAGGAUUGAACACCACUAUUUGUAGACUCAUAAUCAGUCGCGCACUUCUUGGAAGCACCGACUCCAGUAGCUCUGUGAUGAUAUCAAAGAAAACCAAACAGGCUGGAAAAAACCAGGCCAAAGCCAAGAAGACGCUGACAGUGGUCGUGCCCAUGGUAGUUGCAUAUUGCAGAGGCCUGCAGAUGGACACAUACCUGUCAUAAGCCAUGGCUGACAGCACCAUUAAGUCAGAACCAGAUAAACUGUAGAAAAGAAAAGCCUGGACCAAACAGCCGGAAUAAGAAAUGCUCUGCUGGUGAGACAAGACGUCCACAAUCAGUUUGGGGUAAAUAGCAGUGCUGAACAAAAGCGAGUUGAGAGACAAAGCAGCAAUGAAAACGUACAUGGGCUCAUGAAGGUUCCUGUGCAUCCAGAUGACACAAAUUAUGAUGCAGUUUGAGUAAAGAAUGAGAACAUACAGUGCCAAGAAAAACAUCAAAUAAACAUAUCUGUACUUGUCCACAUCUACAUAGCCACCAAGACGUAGCACCAGUGUUCCAUUCCAAUCCAUCGUGACAGAGCACACCAGACAAAUAUGACACGCAUGCAAAAUAGAUCAUACAAGUGUUCACCUUGCUGCUGAUGAAGUGUUCGUGAGCAGUCGAUGAGGAGAAAGAAGACAUCUACCUGAUAAUCAGGAUGAUGACAGCCUGCGAUUGGUCAUCGGGUUGAGGAGGCGUUCUGUUUCCUCCCUCUGUUGCCUUCAAAUCCUCAGAAGGCCAAACACAAAAUAUGUGUUUGGUGAUGAAGAAGACAAAAUUACAUACAACAAGACUACUAUACCCUAAAAUCCUAAAACCAACCUUACACCUGAGAACUGAUGAUGACACAGAAACCAACUUUACACCCUAAAUCUGAUUCGACCAAAUGUAGCUGAGAAGUGGCGAAGCUGUGUUUCGACACUUGGUUCAAACAUGCGUGGAAUCACGAGAUCACUAUGAACGAAGCCUCGAACGUCAGAGCAGUGUCCAACUGGGUGGGGGUGUCUGAUGCAUUCAAAACCCCUUCAAAUAUGUCAGAAUCAUUUUCCACAAACAAGCCAAGGAGGUAGAAAAAUAUUUACAUUGCAAACAUUUCUAGAGUGGCGGCACGGUGAGCGACUGGUUAGCACGUCUGCCUCACAGUUCUGAGGAUCCAGGUUCAAAUCUGGCCUCCCCUGUGUGGAGUUGUAUGUGCUCCCCGUGCCAGCGUGGGUUAUCUCCGGGUACUCAAGUUUCCUCCCACAUGCAUGAUAGGUUCAUUGAAUUGCCAAACAACCAUUCGCACUCACAUUCACACCUACGGGCAAUUGAGUCUUCAGUCGACCUUCCAUGCACGUUUUGGGGGUGUGUGAGGAAACCGGAGUGCCCGGAGAAAACCCACGCAGGCACGGGGAGAACAUGCAAACUCCACACAGGCGGGGCCGGGGAUUGAACCCCGGUCCUCAGAACUGUGAGGCAGAUGUGCUACUAGUCGGCCAUGGUGCCGCCCGUUUUUUGUGCAAUACACUUUAAUUGAAUUAUUAUUCAAGUACAGUUUUUCAUUGUACUAUAUUUAAGCACAGUGCUAAUGUUGAAACUGCAUGUUACAGUGGCUUACACUAAUGUUACAGCAAUAUUACAUCAUGCAUCAAUAAAAAUAACAUUA